GCAGUCGGCAGCAGUCAUAGCUAGAUGAUAUCCAUCUCUUAUCAAAUGAACGUCAAAAAUAGACAGUUUUAUCUAACCCUAACCUAAUGAUCCUAAACUGCCACGUCAAUUCUCUUAAUAACACACUGCGUAAAUGCUCCUUAAUCUGCUGCUGCGAAAAGUAAAAUCUGAUGUUCAUUUGACAAAAGGUGGAUCCCUUCUAGUCGUGACCCCACGGUACCGCCCCUACUACCAUCCCAGGUGUACUGAACUUCCGUACUGCUCCCUUUGGUCGUUUUGACACCUCUGUUGACGCUAUGUUAUCGCAUUCCCGAUGUCUUUGCAGGACACUUGGGCGCUCCCUGUCUGCGCUAAGUCAGGGUAAUAAUGUGCUGGCUGGGAGGACCACUUCAGGCCUCUCCACUGGCAACAGGGUUGUCUACAGGAACACUCAGUUAUGUGAGCCUCCGUCAUCAAUUGUUGUCUUCCACAUCAGAUACUUCAAGACAUCUACAGCACAUAGGGAGGAAGUUGUCACUGUCAACACCCCUCCGUUCUCUGAGUCGAUCACAGAAGGGGAUGUCAGGUGGGAGAAAGCUGUUGGAGAUACAGUGAAAGAGGAUGAGGUGGUGUGUGAGAUCGAGACUGACAAGACCUCGUUGCAGGUGCCAUCUCCGGCGGCCGGUGUGAUCACGGAGCUCCUGGUGCCAGAUGGAGGGAGGGUAGAGGCCGGGAAUCCCCUCUUCAAACUCAAAAAAGGAGCCGCAGCAGCCAACGCCACCCCAGCAGCAGAUGUCCCUGCAGCAGCAGCCCCUCCCCCAACAAUGGUCGCCUUACCCCCCGUGGCAGCACAAGUCAAACCUUUUUCUGCGGUCAAGCCCACUGCACCAGCACCACCAGCAGCAGCCCAUGGGGCCAGGACAGAGAGCAGGGUAAAGAUGAAUCGUAUGAGGCUGAGGAUCGCCCAGCGACUGAAGGAGGCUCAGCAGACUUGUGCCAUGCUCACCACCUUCAACGAGAUAGACAUGAGCAACAUCCAGGAGAUGAGGAAGCUCCAUAAAGAUGCUUUCUUGAAGAGACAUAACAUCAAGCUUGGCUUCACGUCGGCCUUCGUUAAGGCUUCAGCCCACGCUCUCAUGGACCAGCCUUCUGUCAACGGAGUGAUUGACGAUACAACCAAAGAGAUUGUUUACAGGGAUUAUGUUGACAUCAGUGUGGCUGUGGCCACUCCAAAGGGACUGGUUGUACCGGUUAUUCGCAACGUAGAGACCAUGAACUUUGCUGACAUUGAGAAAAGCAUCAACGGUCUGGGAGAGAAGGCUCGUAAUAAUGUGCUGGCUGUGGAGGACAUGGACGGAGGAACCUUCACCAUUAGUAACGGAGGAGUGUUUGGUUCCAUGUUCGGCACGCCCAUCAUCAACCCACCCCAGUCUGCCAUCUUGGGCAUGCACGGUAUCUUCGACAGGCCUGUAGCCAUCGGCGGCAAGGUGGAGAUCCGACCCAUGAUGUACGUGGCUCUGACCUACGACCAUCGGCUGGUCGACGGCAGAGAGGCCGUCACCUUCCUGCGUAAGAUCAAGUCUGUGGUGGAGGAUCCCCGCGUUCUACUGCUCGACAUGUGACUCCAGCCUUACAUCACAGCAACAGGGCCACGUUCAGUAGGCACUAACGUUGUUGAGCGUUACAAAGAGCAGUGGUGUGACUCUCUUUAACAAACCCCGGAGAGGUAUGUGGUUGUAUAUAAUGCUCCACAAACGUUGUGGCCUGCUGAACACACCCGCAGCGAUUUAAACAUCUGUAUAAAACCAACCCGUCCCAAAAACAAGCCACAGCCAAAUCCACUGUUGUUUAUUUUUGGUUGAAGAAAGAGAUCUGUUUGUGUGACAAAGACAUUAUAGUUGGCUGAAAGGCACAAACAGAAAUGGGGCUAAGAGAGAAUUUAAUGUUGAGAUUAUUCACUUAUUAUUAGUUGGUUUCAUUCAGCAGUUUUUGCUCAGAUUGAAAUGUCAGAUUGAUUCAACAUCAUACAAUGUAUCACUGACUGAUGAACCGACCAGGUCUGUUCUGUCUCAAUAUUAUACUGGCUCUCUGAUGAACUUACCAGGUCUGAUCGGUCUCAAUAUUAUACUGGCUCUCUGAUGAACUUACCAGGUCUGUUCUGUCUCAAUAUUAUACUGGCUCUCUGAUGAACUGACCAGGUCUGUUCUGUCUCAAUAUUAUACUGGCUCUCUGAUGAACUUACCAGGUCUGAUCGGUCUCAAUAUUAUACUGGCUCUCUGAUGAACCGACCAGGUCUGAUCGGUCUCAAUAUUCAACUUUUCCAUUCAAAGCACUUACAUCAAGAAAAGGUCACAUGCCAAAAAAGCAUCAAGAUUUUACGGUGUUCCUCUUAGCACCAGAGGGCUUUUCAAUAAGCUGUAAAUGGUCUAUCCAUGCUA